rnacentral:rRNA from 1 species
UACAGAGGUGGCAAGCGUUGUUCGGAAUUACUGGGCGUAAAGGGCGCGUAGGCGGUCUUGUAAGUCUUGUGUGAAAUCCCUCGGCUCAAUUGAGGAACUGCACGGGAUACUGCGAGACUUGAGUUCGGGAGAGGGAAGCGGAAUUCCGGGUGUAGCGGUGAAAUGCGUAGAUAUCCGGAGGAACACCGGUGGCGAAGGCGGCUUCCUGGACCGAUCACUGACGCUGAGGCGCGAAAGCUAGGGGAGCAAACGGG